rnacentral:rRNA from 1 species
UCGGCGGCCAUAGCGUGAGGGAAACGCCCGGUCACAUUCCGAACCCGGAAGCUAAGCCUCACAGCGCCGAUGGUACUGCAGGGGGGACCCUGUGGGAGAGUAGGACACCGCCGGAC